UGGGUAGAAUAAUGCCAGCAGUCGGCCGAUUAUUUCAUUAGGCCAGCACUGGUAUUAUUGCACUCAACACUGAGAUUUCU
ensembl:miRNA eel-mir-8160 eel-mir-8160